rnacentral:rRNA from 1 species
AAAUGAAUAGACGGGGACCCGCACAAGCAGCGGAGCAUGUGGUUUAAUUCGAAGCAACGCGAAGAACCUUACCAGGGCUUGACAUCCUCCUGACCGGUCGGUAACGCGACCUUUCCUUCGGGACAGGGGAGACAGGUGGUGCAUGGUUGUCGUCAGCUCGUGUCGUGAGAUGUUGGGUUAAGUCCCGCAACGAGCGCAACCCUUGUCAUUAGUUGCCAGCAGGUUAAGCUGGGCACUCUAGUGAGACUGCCGGGGAUAACUCGGAGGAAGGUGGGGAUGACGUCAAAUCAUCAUGCCCCUUAUGUUCUGGGCUACACACGUGCUACAAUGGCCGGUACAAAGCGACGCAAACCCGUGAGGGGGAGCAAAUCACUAAAACCGGUCCCAGUUCGGAUUGCAGGCUGCAACUCGCCUGCAUGAAGUCGGAGUUGCUAGUAAUCGUGAAUCAGAAUGUCACGGUGAAUGCGUUCCCGGGUCUUGUACACACCGCCCGU